rnacentral:lncRNA from 1 species
UUGUGUCUGCAGAGUUAACUCUUUUCCCCAGUAAGCUGGACUUCUCAGCUUCUCAGACCCCCGGUUUCUCCCUGCCUCCCUCCCAGGAAUGCCGUUGGGGUGGGAGUCCCAACAUGAGUGAUGUCAUCACAGGGAGGGCCAGUCCUGUGGAAGCUCAGAGUCCCCUGGUCCCCAGCAGGUAGAAGCACCUGGCCUGGUCCUCAGCGAUACGGACAGGACCAAUGAAGCAGCAUGUUAGGGGGCAAGAAAAAGGAGUUUCCAGCAGGGAGACGGGCCAAGGAGUGACCCCCAAAGCGUCCAGGGGCCUGGGCACUACACUGCCACAGGCAGCCAGGGGCGAGCCGUAGAUGGACCAUAUUGGGCACAUUUGGUGAUGGUUUUGCUGAAGUGUGCCUGGAAGCUGCUGUCCACACUGGAACAAGCCUCUGGCACCUAUUGGGCACCUCCUAAGCUAGAAGGUGGCUCAGUUGUGUUGUCCUUACUGGCGGGGGGGAAGCUCUUGAGGCUGUUUCCCCACUCACAGCCCCCAGCCCCAGGAAGAGGCCUCUUCCUCUGACCUCAACCUCAGCUGGAAGCACAAAGCAGAGCCUGCUCAGCCCUGCCCUUCUCUGGUCUUCAGAACCUCGUGCUGCCCUUCUACCCAAGCUGUCUGUGCCUGCUCUCUGCACAAUGGCCAUCCGGAGGUAGUCCUGUGUCCGGUCCUUCCUUGGCCGGAGGCAAUAUCCAGACCCUUCCUCCACCCUUCCAGGGUUCCCGCCCACUCCUGAAUCUCCACUUUGAAAGCUUUCCACGGACAAGUGAUCUCUCACAACCGCCUUCACUUCCCCUCCCAGUCCAACCUGCCCCUCCCACAGGCCCCAGCCUACCCAUUUCCUCUGCCCUUUUCACCCUUUGGCGCCAGAACUCAGCCAUUCUGAGCCUUUGGCCCAGCUCUUUCCUCCUUCCAGCUGCUCCUGUGCUGGGGCCUCCCAUCUCUUGCUUUUUCUCUUUGGCGUUAACUGUUACUCAGCCCUGCACCCCAACAAAGAAAUGCACCCUGAAAGCCUGUGGCACUAAGAGCAGCUCAGAACACUUAUCACACCUUUCUCCUUGACCCUCACCUCUCUGGAAGAUUAGAAGCAGAAGAUUUAUUGGAUCAACUUCUCAGCUGUGGAAUCUGAGCAAACAGAAGGGAAGUGGCUGAGGGAGGCCUCAGACCAGCUGUAUCCCUGGACCAGAGGUCACAGCGCUGGCUAAGGAAACCUUCCAUGCAGGAGUGCUGUGAGCUGAGCAGUGCAUAAGAAAAGAGUGUUUGUGGGAAUCAGCAUUUUACCACCUGGCAGACCUGCCUGGGCUGUAGCAGAGCCUCCCCACUCAGUGGACAAGGGACAGGAGGGAUCAAAGGUACAGCCACUAUCCUGGGCUUUGCACAAACAUUGCCUCGCCUCCUUCUCCUGGUACCCCCAUGUUAUCCUUUCUGAACAAAGAGGCAACUGAGGCCCCAAGAGCCCAAAGCUGCAUGACAAUGACGGUGAAUCAGGACUGGAACCCAGACCCCCUGCCUCCCUACCCACAGCUCUUUCAGCUCCCUUUCCAAAUAUAUCAGCUUGCUGCCCUCUGGCUGUCCUGUUUUCUACCCAAAACUAGGACCUCGUCCACCUUCUCAAGCCCAGUCACCCCCUUACUCCCACUGAAGCCCUGGAAUCUUAGGCCUAGUGGGGUUGCAGGUUCCAGAGUACUUACAUCCUUAAAGGACAUAAACAUCUGUAGCCUUCAGUCACCCCCACAAUUGCCUAUGCAUGUUAGAUGUGUCUACUAAAAACAACCACUAUAAUAGUUGUAGCUGCCUUUAUUGCUUAUUCUGUUUUAGGGUUUACGCUACCUUCUCUUUUUAAUAUAAUGAUAUUUGUCAUUAAUUGAAUUAUUUUACAUCACACCAGACAUCGUAUAAUCCAAACCAGGCCAGGAGCUGUGGGCUCUGUAUUACAGCACCCACCCCACCAGAGGCAGCUGACAGGCCA